rnacentral:rRNA from 1 species
CGGACUGGUGAGUAACACGUGGAUAACCUACCUAUAAGACUGGGAUAACUUCGGGAAACCGGAGCUAAUACCGGAUAAUAUUUUGAACCGCAUGGUUCAAAAGUAGAAGACGGUCUUGCUGUCACUUAUAGAUGGAUCCGCGCUGCAUUAGCUAGUUGGUAAGGUAACGGCUUACCAAGGCAACGAUGCAUAGCCGACCUGAGAGGGUGAUCGGCCACACUGGAACUGAGACACGGUCCAG